UCAAGGUCCACCAGUCUCAGAUGCACUUUGGUUCCUUUUUUAUAUUUUCUAUGGAGAAAAGAAACAAAGCAAAGAAGAAAUGGAACUGCCAUCCUAGGAGACGCAAGAUACCAAUGAAAAGGAAAAAGGCUGGACCAACUUCAUUUCUGGAACGGUUUGCUUUCUUCUUCAGUGAGGUAUAUAACAUAUUAAAAUGCAGGAUGAAAACCUGGAGAGGGUGCAGAAUGAUGCAAUACAAGAAAAUGUUUUGAGAACUGGAGAAAACUGAAAAAGUCCAACCUAAGAAGUUUAUUUAAAAAAGCUGAAAGGUAAAGAGCUGAGGGUGAAGUGGAAAAGGACAUUCUAUGGGAUUUGAAGAUCUGUGGAAUCUCAGAGCCGGUAAAAUUGUCACUACCUCCAAACAACUUCUAAUAAUAUCUACUGAGCGUUCUAAUAAAUCCUGUCCAAACUUAAACACAUUGCUCAAGUACUGGCAUCCUUAUUCCAAGCGACUUGGAGUUCUGCGUCCUUAUGCUGCUACAAAUUAGAUUACUGUCAAUUGAUUUUAAAAAAGG